GAUGAACGCUGGCGGCGUGCUUAACACAUGCAAGUCGAACGGGAAACCUUUUAUUGAAGCUUCGGCAGAUUUAGCUGGUUUCUGGUGGCGGACGGGUGAGUAACGCGUGGGUAACCUGCCUUAUACAGGGGGAUAACAACCAGAAAUGGUUGCUAAUACCGCAUAAGCGCACAGGACCGCAUGGUCCGGUGUGAAAAACUCCGGUGGUAUAAGAUGGACCCGCGUUGGAUUAGCUAGUUGGCAGGGUAACGGCCUACCAAGGCGACGAUCCAUAGCCGGCCUGAGAGGGUGAACGGCCACAUUGGGACUGAGACACGGCCCAGACUCCUACGGGAGGCAGCAGUGGGGAAUAUUGCACAAUGGGGGAAACCCUGAUGCAGCGACGCCGCGUGAAGGAAGAAGUAUCUCGGUAUGUAAACUUCUAUCAGCAGGGAAGAUAGUGACGGUACCUGACUAAGAAGCCCCGGCUAACUACGUG
rnacentral:rRNA from 1 species